AAAGAAUUGCAAAGUGGUGGUGCGGACAGAGCAGACAAAAGAGUAGAGGAGAGAGACGUAAUUGACGAGGUAGAGUUCCAGGUCCAGGGGUGAAGAACCUUGGGAGACACGCUUACCUCCUUUUUCAAAACCGGCAACUUGCGUGUCAGCAAUUAAAUUAAACCCCACUGGUGGCAUCUUAUUCACUGAACCCGUUCAUACCAACAUUUUCUCUCUCUAAUAUUCAAACUUAAACUUUCUUCUUACCAUAUACAUCAACAAAGAAAGAAUAUAAUUCUAACUUGUAAAGCAAGGGAGAGAGAAAGAUCCAUCAGAAUUCACUCCAUUUCCAUAUUCACCCAUUCUUCUCAAACGUAAUAAAAAACAAAGCUCAUUUUUCUUGCUUUGUAUCUCUCUCUUAUGUGUAGAUCCUUCAGAUGGUUACCCAUACUGCUGCUAGAGAUUGAGAAGAGGCUGGAAUGCUAAAAGUGCAUGACCUUGUUCCCUCUUUUGGAAAUGUAUCCUCUGACCAUUCUCACCCUCACCUUCAGCAUCAAAGGUAUUUCCCUCUCCCCACCUCCUAUCGACCUUCUCCCUUAAUUGCCUUGUACAUGUAUUAUUCCUUUCUGUUUAAUAUGCUAUGUAUGUGAAAUCAACUCUCCUAGUAGCUAGAUCUUAUUUAUGGGUACUUUAUUCUUCUCUAGAUCGCAUUCAAUUCUCAGCUUUUUUGACAAAAUCAACAAACCCUCACCUAUCAAGGCUUGUGGUUUAUUUGCUUAACAUAUUUAAGUGAAUUUCCACCUGUAGAGAUGAUUGCUUUUAUGAUCCUUUUUUUUGUAAUCUCUAAGGGGUAUUACUGAUGUAGAGUGGUUCAAUUACCAUAAUGUUCUUCAUAUCCGUAGCUUUUGAUGUUGUGGCUGAUAGCUUGUCUAAUUUGUCCUGGUUGUGAAUUGAUUGAAAUUUUGGGAUGCAGCUUUAUCCUUGGGGAUGACGUGUAAUGGCACAUAAUUUGAAGACAGGUGAAAGAUAGAUACGUAAUUUUGCAUUUGUAGUUGCUUCAAAUUUGCAGAUGAUGAGUUGCUAAAAAGUUAAUUACUCGAGGCUGUCGAUCCAACCGAAACUUCUGUCGUUCCAGUCGAAUCCAAUAUUUUAAGAAGUUGCAGAAUCUGAAAAGUGCUUGAAUCACAUUGUGCAAUAAAGCUUCCUCCCUUGGUUUGGUUUGGCAAAUUUUGGUUCUCACAAUUUUAAAACUUACCGCAUUUAAUAAUCUGGGUUUAGCUUCAACUACAGCAAUUACGGAGCAUUUUUCUUUGGUGUGAAAGAACUAGGCGUCCACUGCUUAGGCUUGGCUAUACAUAUCAGAGUCUCCGUCACUGAGCUUCAAUCCUUGCAUUGAAGACUACUUUGUGCUAAUAAUUGCCCAAAUUUGGUCACAUUUUGCCAUUCUCGGUUGACUUGCUAUAUCAUUGAAUCUCAAGCAGAGUAUCCUGGGUUUCGCUCAAUGGAAUUUAUCUGUAUUACCAUCUGCACUCUGCUUAUAUAUAUAUAUAAAUCAUUAAUUCGGCUGUGAUUUGAAACUCGUUAGCUGAAAAAAGGUUUGAUCUGAUCAGAGGAGUCAACCAGGCAAGUAAGGGAAUUUUGAAUGAGAUUUCCUGGAGGUGUUAUUGAUCGAUACACAAAUAUAUAGCAAUAUGAAUACGAGUGCAGGGAAAGUUCCAAUUUCGGUGGUUGAGAGAAAGAAGGUUGAAUAUCAUCGUUCCUUCUCACAAGAAGGUGCCAGAAGAUUAUUACCAGCGAGCUACUUCAGCUUGGAAUCGCUGCUUCUGCUUGUGUGUCUAACGGCAUCCUUGCUUAUCCUUCCCUUGAUACUUCCGCCGUUGCCUCCCCCACCUUUCUUGCUAUUACUGCUUCCAAUAGGCAUUUUAGCCGUGCUAAUGAUAUUGGCUUUCAUGCCAUCUAAUGUAAGGGAUAUAACCUAUACAUAUAUGUAAAUGUUGUUUUAUCAUACAAUUUUUUUUUUCAAGGAUGAAAGAAUUUUAUCAUUUUGCCGACACUCUGGAAGUUACAAUAUGCUUGGUGCACGUUGAUAGUAAGAAUUUUCUUGAUUGUAGGCUGAGAUUUAGUUGAUUUUAUUCAUAACAACUCUCUAGUUCUGUAAGACACCAUUAGGUUAAGUUUGGAUUCGACAAACUGCAAUUACAUAAUGUUUGUUGCAUAGAUAUCUAACUAUAUUUAUAUAUAAAUGGCUUAGGACAUAGAUGCAUAUUUCACUUAUUUCAAGUAAAUCAUAAAUUUCAUUGUUACAUUCGCUUAGGGUGAGUUUGAACCAGAGAUUUCAAUGAGAU
rnacentral:lncRNA from 1 species